GGGUCCGUAGCCUAGUUUGGAUAAGGCGCUGGCCUUCGGAGCCGGAGAGCGGGGGUUCAAAUCCCCUCGGACCCG
rnacentral:tRNA from 1 species